AUUAUCUUCUUGUAAACAGAAGAUUUUUCCAGAAUCUUCAAUAGAACAAAAAUGUCAUAAAACAGUCUUGUCAGAAUGUAAUUUUUCAGCUACAUUUAGUAGGAAAGAGACCAUGCAAAAUCUUUAAAUUGCUAAAAAAACACUGGAAUUAGAAGAAGGGUGGUAUAAGAUGAUGUAAGUAUAUGGAGACAGGUAGUGUUAGUGACAGAAAAAAGAUCUUGUAGACUGAGAAUGAAAAGAACAUCAAUGGUUAUUAAUGUUCUUCUUUCAUGAAUCUGACAAAAUCCUUCUCACAACUAAAAAGAAAUUGCUUUUCAAAUGAAUAAAUCAAGUUCAACAGUUCAGAGAGUCCUAAAACAAGACCUUAAUCUUAAAGCUUUAAAACCAGGGACAUUUUUUUAACUGUUCAACAAAAGAAGAAUCAAGUCAAGAAGUUAGGCAUUAUUGAAGUGGUAUGUCUAAUUUUUCUUGAUUUGAUCAGGACAAAUUUAAGAAAUUAGCCAUACUUAAAAGAGAAACAUGUUCCUAAAAGAUUUUAUAAAAGACUCAAAUGCAGUUCCAUUAGACAAGAAUCCUACAAGAAAAUUAGUACAGAAUAUAGAGAAUAUUACCAAGAAACCUGAUUUUUCAAUAUUUUUGAAGAUGAUAGGGUGAAGGAUCCUUGUUGCCCAAGAUUAUUUGCCUGUGUAAAAUCACAUAAAGAACCUGUUACGGAAGCAAGACCAAUUGCUGAGGAAAGACAAUCUCCACUAUAUUUGAUUGAAAAGAAUUUAGUUCAGUAUCAAACUAAGAUGAAACCAUACAAUACACAGAUAACUCAACAGAGGAUUUUCUUAUAGAUUUAAAAGAAAAAACAUCUGAAAAAGUUUAGAGUUACUAAAAUUUCAUCUUUCAUUCUUUGUUUCCAUCAAUAGAAAUACCAUCUGCAUGUCUGCUAUUAUAACAAUUUUUUUGCCAGCAAAUGUAUCAGAAGUGGAUAGAAUAGAUAAUCUCAAGAGAUAUAUCUCGUCUCGUCUGCUAUAAUUAAUAUUCUGUGUUUGAAGACAUAUUUUAUUUACAAACAAAAGAAGUGCCUAUUGACACCUAGUGGUUGGAUAUUAGCCAAGUUAGUAGUUAGAAACAAAGAAUCCCAUGUUUUUAAAUUAACUCAAUCCAGAUUUAAUAUGUUAUAGGAAAUAUGUAGAUGAUAUUUUUCCUAUAUGAGGAAAAGAUAGAACAAAAAAUUUUGAAGAUUUUUUUCACUGAUGAGACUUGUGGAUUACUAUUACAAAAAGACCCGAAACAUCAUAAACAAGUCCAUUACUUAGAUGUUAUAAUUAGAAAAGAAGAAAUGUUUUAUAGUGCAAGUGUAUACCAAAAAUCUACAGUGAAUAGGAUAUUAAUUCCAAGUUGAUCUAAUGACCUAAUAUCCUAUAAAAAAAAGCAGCAUCUUAUGUAUAUUUCAAACAUAUAGUUACAAAUUGCAAUAUAUAAGGGUUGGAACUUUAAUAGUGGCAAAACUGCUGUAGAGACGCCAUGCAACGGAACCUAAUGAUGUCACUGAUAGCACAUGUCAGUUACAUACCUAUCUUACCUCAGAACAUAUAAACAC
rnacentral:lncRNA from 1 species